GACGAACGCUGGCGGCGUGCUUAACACAUGCAAGUCGAACGGAAAGGCCCUGCUUUUGUGGGGUGCUCGAGUGGCGAACGGGUGAGUAACACGUGAGUAACCUGCCCUUGACUUUGGGAUAACUUCAGGAAACUGGGGCUAAUACCGGAUAGGAGCUCCUGCUGCAUGGUGGGGGUUGGAAAGUUUCGGCGGUUGGGGAUGGACUCGCGGCUUAUCAGCUUGUUGGUGGGGUAGUGGCUUAUCAAGGCUUUGACGGGUAGCCGGCCUGAGAGGGUGACCGGCCAAAUUGGGAAUGGGGUACGGCCCAGACUCACAGGGGAGGAAACAGUGGGGAAUAUUGCACAAGGGGGGGAAGCCUGAGGCAGCAACGCCGGGGGGGGGAUGACGGCCUUGGGGUUGAAACCCGCUUUCGCCUGUGACGAAGCGGGAGUGACGGUAAUGGGUAAAGAAGCACCGGCUAACUACGU
rnacentral:rRNA from 1 species